rnacentral:rRNA from 1 species
AGCAGCAGCCGCGGUAAUACGGAGGGUGCAAGCGUUAAUCGGAAUUACUGGGCGUAAAGCGCACGCAGGCGGUCUGACAAGUCAGAUGUGAAAUCCCCGGGCUUAACCUGGGAACUGCAUUUGAAACUGUCAGGCUGGAGUCUUGUAGAGGGGGGUGGAAUUCCAGGUGUAGCGGUGAAAUGCGUAGAGAUCUGGAGGAAUACCGGUGGCGAAGGCGGCCCCCUGGACAAAGACUGACGCUCAGGUGCGAAAGCGUGGGGAGCAAACAGGAUUAGAGACCCCUGUAGUCCCUGUCUCUUAUAC